CGCCAUUUCCACGGUGACAAAGAUUCCUAGCCAAUGUUCCCAAGGAAAAAUAAGGGCAAUAUGUUGGGAUUUUUAUCCCAGAGUGCGGUUUUAGUCAUCAAAUAAUCAACCACAACAGUAAGAAAACGAUGCAGAAAAUUAAAGAGCACAGUAAUUGUUCACCCAAUUUGGCCAAAUCUAAUAUGGGGGCUCAAAGGCAAAAAUCCAAGCCCGUCACUAUGCAAAAAAC
rnacentral:lncRNA from 1 species